CAUCUCCAACUUGGAUGUUGCAACUGGUUCCCCUAAACGCAGUAUGCAUUAAUUGUUAAUUGUUGUUCAUGUUCCACAAGGGAGAUAGAAUUUUAUGAACAGAGAACAUGAGGAUGGUUAUUAUUUUAUACUAUUUUUAAAAAACUUCUCAAUGUCCUAAGUCCAAACUCCUUAGGCUCACAAACAAAGCUCUUAGUAAUCAAGCCCCAAACAACCACUUUCAGUUUUUUUAUGUCCACUUCUUUCUCCUUGGU
rnacentral:lncRNA from 1 species